AGACGUUGAUAGGCUGGGUGUGUAAGCGUAGCGAUACGUUGAGCUAACCAGUACUAAUGAACCGUGAGGCUUAACCUGACAACACCGAAGGUGUUUUAG
rnacentral:rRNA from 1 species